rnacentral:rRNA from 1 species
CGGACGGGUGAGUAAUGUCUGGGAAACUGCCCGAUGGAGGGGGAUAACUACUGGAAACGGUAGCUAAUACCGCAUAACGUCGCAAGACCAAAGAGGGGGACCUUCGGGCCUCUUGCCAUCGGAUGUGCCCAGAUGGGAUUAGCUAGUAGGUGGGGUAAUGGCUCACCUAGGCGACGACCCCUAGCUGGUCUGAGAGGAUGACCAGCCACACUGGAACUGAGACACGGUCCAG